UGAUCCAGCCAUGCCGCGUGUGUGAAGAAGGCCUUAUGGUUGUAAAGCACUUUAAGCGAGGAGGAGGCUUACCUAGAUAAUACCUAGGAUAAGUGGACGUUACUCGCAGAAUAAGCACCGGCUAACUCUGUGCCAGCAGCCGCGGUAAUACGUAGGUCCCUG
rnacentral:rRNA from 1 species